rnacentral:lncRNA from 1 species
GAAGCCGUAUUACUUGUAACACACUAGCAAGUGACUGAAGCAUGGUCAUCCCUUGGAAUCUGGGGGGAUUGGUUCUAGACCUGCACGGGUACCAAAGCGCACAGCCGUUCAAGCCCCUCAUAUGAAAUGGUGCAGUAUCUGCAUAUAACCCACGCACAUCGUCUCCUAUACUUUAAAUCUUCUCCAGGUCACGAAUAAUACCUAAUACAAUGUAAAUGCUCUGUUAAUAGUUGUUAUACCGCAUUGUUGAGGGAAUAAUGAUAAGAAAAGAAGUCCGUACAUCUUCAGUACAGAUGCAACCAUCGCGGGACUUUCCAUCUGAGGUUGGUUGAAUCCGCGGAUGUGGACUCCGGCGGAUGCGGAGCGUCAACUGUUUGCAGAGCGUAGAGGAAGAAUUGCGUCCUUCCUGGCUGGUCUCAGCUCUAUUCCCACAGCGACAUGAUGUUGCUGACUCAUAAUGAUCAGCUCUGGUCUUCUAAAAUAGUGUGGCUCACCAAUCUUGUAAUGAUUUUUAUGGUUUUGGUUUCCUAAAUGCCCACUCUCCCCCUCCUUUAUCCUGUUUGUCUGGGAUUGUGCUUCCUGUUGAAUGAUGUCACAUUGGUCUGCGUGAUGUAGCGUCACCUACAGGCUAAAUAAGCACAUCCUCAGUGUCUUUCGUUGAGACAUCAGUGACUCCAAGGUCGCUUGCUAUAGGCCCCUCUCACUGACGCCACAUCAUUGGAAACCACUUCCAGGAUUGUGAAAUCUGCACAUGAAAAACGAGUUCCACUGGCAGACAACACAGUCAAGCCGUCCGGGCUGGGCGCACACGUUCGCCCUGUCGCUUGCUGGAGUGGGGCCACCACCGCAGGCCGUGGCCUUCCUCUUGAUUUCUUUGUCCUGCCGUCUCAGGGCAGGUCGCCCAGGGGAGGAAGCUGCACCCUAGUCAGCCGCAGCAGCUGGCCCCAGCGCCCCUGGGGGCCCGGCCACCUCGGAGGCCUCGACGGCUGCCCGGAGCCAGCAUGCGCCCCACCACGGGCGCCCCCUGGACACGGCCAGGGCAGGAGCUCCAGCGACUCCGGAGAGACCCAUUCAGACACCAGCUGA